UUGUCUGGCGGCAGUAGCGCGGUGGUCCCACCUGACCCCAUGCCGAACUCAGAAGUGAAACGCCGUAGCGCCGAUGGUAGUGUGGGGUCUCCCCAUGCGAGAGUAGGGAACUGCCAGACAUC
rnacentral:rRNA from 1 species